AUUCGAAGGAAGCGUGCAGCAGCUGGAUCGAAACUCGCAGUCAUGGCUGAUCAAAGGGAAGAUCCGAAGAUAACGACCCUGGAGACCCCACGGCGGGCGCUGUGCUUCCAGGUGUUUGCCGGCGUCGUGACCGUCCUCCUCCUGGUG